AUUGAACGCUGGCGGCAUGCCUUACACAUGCAAGUCGAACGGCAGCACGGGGCAACCUGGUGGCGAGUGGCGAACGGGUGAGUAAUGCAUCGGGACGUACCUUUCAGUGGGGGAUAACGUAGCGAAAGUUACGCUAAUACCGCAUAUUCUGUGAGCAGGAAAGCAGGGGAUCGCAAGACCUUGCGCUGAUUGAGCGGCCGAUGUCAGAUUAGCUAGUUGGUGAGGUAAAGGCUCACCAAGGCGACGAUCUGUAGCGGGUCUGAGAGGAUGAUCCGCCACACUGGAACUGAGACACGGUCCAGACUCCUACGGGAGGCAGCAGUGGGGAACUUUGGACAAUGGGGGCAACCCUGAUCCAGCCAUGCCGCGUGAGUGAAGAAGGCCUUCGGGUUGUAAAGCUCUUUCGGCCGGGAAGAAAUCGCACGGGCUAAUACCCUGUGUGGAUGACGGUACCGGAAUAAGAAGCACCGGCUAACUACGUGCCAGCCGCCGCCGUAAGAC
rnacentral:rRNA from 1 species